AUGGAGUUGGGUUUGAGAUGGGUUUUUCUUGUUGCUGUUUUAAAAGGUGUCCAGUGUGAGGUGCAACUGGUGGAGUCUGGGGGAGGCUUAGUACCACCUGGGGGAUCCCUGAAACUCUCCUGUGCAGCCUCCAGAUUCACCUUUAGUGAUUACUACAUGGACUGUGUCCCCCAGGCUCCAGGGAAGGGGCUGGAGUGUGUUGGACAUAUUAGUAAAGAUGGUGGUAGUAUAUACUACCCAGACUCCGUGAAGGGCAGAUUCACCAGCUCCAGAGACAAUUCCAAGAGCCAGUUGUAUCUGCAGAUGAACAGCCUGAAAGCCGAGGACACUGCCGUGUAUUACUGUGUAAGACACCCAGUUAUGGGGCUUCAUUCUCCUCAGUCAUCAACUGUGCCAGGACAUGAACUUGGGAACCAACAAUCCAGUGAAGUAUCAAUGGCAUCAGAUCCUGCAGUGGCUCAGGGCUUCGUGUUGAUGGCAAACAUCUAUUGGGAUGAUGAUAAGUACUGCAGCCCAUCCCUGAAGAGCUGGCUUACCAUUUCCAAAGACAGGUUUGACAGCCAGGUGUUCCUCACAAUGACCAACAUGGACUAUAAAGACAUGGGCACCUAUUACUGUGCUCGAAGAAGACAGUGA